CCUGGCUCACGAUGAACGCUAGCUACAGGCUUAACACAUGCAAGUCGAGGGGCAGCAUGGUCUUAGCUUGCUAAGGCCGAUGGCGACCGGCGCACGGGUGAGUAACACGUAUCCAACCUGCCGUCUACUCUUGGACAGCCUUCUGAAAGGAAGAUUAAUACAAGAUGGCAUCAUGAGUCCGCAUGUUCACAUGAUUAAAGGUAUUCCGGUAGACGAUGGGGAUGCGUUCCAUUAGAUAGUAGGCGGGGUAACGGCCCACCUAGUCUUCGAUGGAUAGGGGUUCUGAGAGGAAGGUCCCCCACAUUGGAACUGAGACACGGUCCAAACUCCUACGGGAGGCAGCAGUGAGGAAUAUUGGUCAAUGGGCGAGAGCCUGAACCAGCCAAGUAGCGUGAAGGAUGACUGCCCUAUGGGUUGUAAACUUCUUUUAUAAAGGAAUAAAGUCGGGUAUGGAUACCCGUUUGCAUGUACUUUAUGAAUAAGGAUCGGCUAACUCCGUGCCAGCAGCCGCGGUAAUACGGAGGAUCCGAGCGUUAUCCGGAUUUAUUGGGUUUAAAGGGAGCGUAGAUGGAUGUUUAAGUCAGUUGUGAAAGUUUGCGGCUCAACCGUAAAAUUGCAGUUGAUACUGGAUAUCUUGAGUGCAGUUGAGGCAGGCGGAAUUCGUGGUGUAGCGGUGAAAUGCUUAGAUAUCACGAAGAACUCCGAUUGCGAAGGCAGCCUGCUAAGCUGCACUGACAUUGAGGCUCGAAAGUGUGGGUAUCAAACAGGAUUAGAUACCCUGGUAGUCCACACGGUAAACGAUGAAUACUCGCUGUUUGCGAUAUACUGCAAGCGGCCAAGCGAAAGCGUUAAGUAUUCCACCUGGGGAGUACGCCGGCAACGGUGAAACUCAAAGGAAUUGACGGGGGCCCGCACAAGCGGAGGAACAUGUGGUUUAAUUCGAUGAUACGCGAGGAACCUUACCCGGGCUUAAAUUGCAGAUGAAUUACGGUGAAAGCCGUAAGCCGCAAGGCAUCUGUGAAGGUGCUGCAUGGUUGUCGUCAGCUCGUGCCGUGAGGUGUCGGCUUAAGUGCCAUAACGAGCGCAACCCUCGUUGUCAGUUACUAACAGGUUCCGCUGAGGACUCUGACAAGACUGCCAUCGUAAGAUGUGAGGAAGGUGGGGAUGACGUCAAAUCAGCACGGCCCUUACGUCCGGGGCUACACACGUGUUACAAUGGGGGGUACAGAGGGCCGCUACCACGCGAGUGGAUGCCAAUCCCCAAAACCUCUCUCAGUUCGGACUGGAGUCUGCAACCCGACUCCACGAAGCUGGAUUCGCUAGUAAUCGCGCAUCAGCCACGGCGCGGUGAAUACGUUCCCGGGCCUUGCACACAC
rnacentral:rRNA from 1 species